rnacentral:rRNA from 1 species
AUUGAACGCUGGCGGCAGGCCUAACACAUGCAAGUCGAACGAGUGGCGGACGGGUGAGUAAUGUCUGGGAAACUGCCUGAUGGAGGGGGAUAACUACUGGAAACGGUAGCUAAUACCGCAUACCAUCGGAUGUGCCCAGAUGGGAUUAGCUAGUAGGUGGGGUAACGGCUCACCUAGGCGACGAUCCCUAGCUGGUCUGAGAGGAUGACCGGCCACACGGAGGCGGAGACACGGUCCAGACUCCUACGAGAGGGUGCAGUGAGGAAUAUGGCACAAUGGGCGCAAGCCUGAUGCAGCCAUGCCGCGUGUAUGAAGAAGGCCUUCGGGUUGUAAAGUACUUUCAGCGGGGAGGCGUUACCCGCAGAAGAAGCACCGGCUAACUCCGUGCCAGCAGCCGCGGUAAUAC